AGAAAUAGAUGGGCAGUCCGUCGUAGCUUCUAACCCUAACCCUGUGGGCCCUCUGUGAAUGGUCACCGUUACUGCUCACAGUAAAAGAGAAUUUCUGAUUAGCAGGCUUUCAGCAAAGAACAUCUAUGGCUUGUAUGAUAACACAAAUUGGAAAGUUAUGAAAGAAAUACGUCUCCUGUCUCACUAACACGCGGGCGUGAAAAGCCAGUUUGAAAGGGGGAGUCACCACCCUGUUCAGGGUGAUUUGCAGAGGAGUGGACCUGGAGGAAAGCAUCUGGGCUUUACCCCGAUUGCCACCAGGUGACUUCUAAAUACCUAGCACUGAGGCAGAUGCCAUGAGAGUCCUGGAUCAAUCACUUGCAAGCUCUUGAAGAUAAACUACCGAACUUCUCUGAGCCUCAA